rnacentral:lncRNA from 1 species
GGGGCUUUGAUUUGAAAUUAUAUUUUGAUUUAGUUAUGAAUUAUAAUUAAUGUAAAGGUGUAACUUUGAAUAAUAGGUUUCGAAGGAUACUUUUAGGAUUUGAUUGAAUCUGUCCAUUCAAUGUUCUACAGAGGUAAGUAAUGAACUAUCUUCUUGAGAUAUUUUAUAAUUAUUUUAAAAAUAAAUAUUAGACUUUAAAUUAUGCAUGAUUUAUAAAA